AUUGAACGCUGGCGGCAGGCUUAACACAUGCAAGUCGAGCGGAGAUGAGGUGCUUGCACCUUAUCUUAGCGGCGGACGGGUGAGUAAUGCUUAGGAAUCUGCCUAUUAGUGGGGGACAACAUUCCGAAAGGAAUGCUAAUACCGCAUACGUCCUACGGGAGAAAGCAGGGGAUCUUCGGACCUUGCGCUAAUAGAUGAGCCUAAGUCGGAUUAGCUAGUUGGUGGGGUAAAGGCCUACCAAGGCGACGAUCUGUAGCGGGUCUGAGAGGAUGGUCCGCCCCACUGGGACUGAGACACGGCCCAGACUCCUACGGGAGGCAGCAGUGGGGAAUAUUGGACAAUGGGGGGAACCCUGAUCCAGCCAUGCCGCGUGUGUGAAGAAGGCCUUAUGGUUGUAAAGCACUUUAAGCGAGGAGGAGGCUGCUGAGACUAAUACUCUUGGAUAGUGGACGUUACUCGCAGAAUAAGCACCGGCUAACUCUGUGCCAGCCGCCGCCGUAACAC
rnacentral:rRNA from 1 species